CAGCACCUCCUGCUCCUUAGACAGGGAGAGAGGGAAGGGAGUCAGCCAGGGCUGGGAGCACUGAGCACAGGGGCUGGUUCUGUCUCAUUCUCCGCAAGUUGAAAGGACCCCAUAGGCAGGUUCCACGGCCUGUAAAACACGAGGAAGAUGCGCUCCUGCUCACAGGUUGGUUUGAGAAUAGACAAGCGGACAGGUGUCAGCACCUAGGGGUCCACAGAGCUGGGAGGGAGGAAGUACCUCCAAGGACUGAGGAAACGGAACGAACGGAGCGAAGACCUGGUCUGUCUGCUCUGAGCCCCUUCGAGGGAAUCCAGGAAGGAAGGCUCCCUGUGCCCAGGAGAGCAGGACAGAGAGUCCAAAGCCGCUUCUCACCUGAGCAGGACUUUGGGAAGCAGUCAUCGUGUGGCCCAUCAGGAUGAAAGCCAGGACUUCCCUGUGCUGACUAGUUCAGGGAGAGCCCCAUUUCCCCCCAAACACAGCCACGGCAAGGGUAUGCAUCGACUUUGCCAUUAGCGGGAGGCCACUGGGAGACCGUGGGCUCGUGCUUGCCCGCCUUCCUAAUGCUCAGUGACGUACCACCAAUAAACACCCACCCACCGAAGAGCUCGGGGAAGCUCUCGCCAGCCGAACGCGCCCAAGUUAAGCUUCUUAAUUGAAAAUAUAAUCUGUAUUGCGGAGAUUAAAAUAUAUUGGAUUCAUUGUAGCUCUAUUCUUCCCCAUUGUCCCACAUACAUUUUCU
rnacentral:lncRNA from 1 species